rnacentral:rRNA from 1 species
AUGGUUGACACCAACGACGGUGCGGAGGAGCACUCCGGUGUGAAUCCUAUCUCGUCUACGGCUGAUGGGGGAACCUCGGUCUCACGUGAGGAAUUCAAUGUGGCUUUAGACACAUUGAAAACCUCCAUGACGACCGAGGUUAAAAGCAUGUUUACUGAUUUCCUAGAAGGACUUAAACUAUCCACCUCGCCGAUGAAAGUGGGUGGUGAUCCCACUAACAAGGUGACAGAUGCCAACUCCGACAAGGGGGAAGCUAAUAGUGAAAAGGGUCCUUCUACUAGUGGUAGAAAUGGCACCGGCAUCUUUGCCCAUGUGGAACCCCCUACUUAUGGUGGACCGAUUCCCUCUACUCAUUUAAAUCAUGCCGGUCCUCCUCCUAAGAUUGUGAAAAAUGAGGAUUUUGAUGCUUGGGUUUAUCGUUUCAAGCGUCAUUUAAAACAUGUGAAUACUAAUCUUUGGAGAAUUAUAGAAGAAGGUUUCUAUCCACAUGACCCAAGCAACUUCACCCCUCGAGAAGCCGUGGAUAAUCAAUUCAAUGAGAGUGCUCUCUUCAUCAUCCAAGAUGCAAUCCUUCACGAAGAUCUCCCUCACCUUCGACCUCAUGCCAUGGCUAAAGACGCAUGGCAAUGUGUUGUGUCUCCCUACCGAGGAAGUGCUAGCAUUCAACGCUCCAACUAUGAAGUGGUGCAAGAUGAAGCCGAUGAGUUUGCAAUGAAAGAAGAUGAAGAACCUCGUGAGCUCUUUCGAAGAGUGACCAAACUCGCGGUCGCACUCCGAGAUCAUGGGAGCAAGGACACGGAUGACAAUUGGAUCAAGCGCAAGUUCCUCAAGGCCAUGAUGCCCUACAACAAGGCCAUGUCCUCCGUCAUUCGUCAAAGACCGGACUUCCACUCCAUGACCUCAAGUGAAGUGUUGGAUGAGUUUGUUGCAAUGAGCAUCUUGGACAAGACCGCCGACAAUGCGGUGCUCCGUUCUCAAAGGGCAAAGAAGCCCAACCUUGCCUUGAAGGCCAAGGUUAGUGUGGACGAAGAGGAAGAAGAGGAAGAAGAGGAGAGCAACCCCGAAUACACGAAAUGUGAUUAUCAUGAGCACAUGGCUCUUGCCUCAAGACAAUUUUGGAGCAAGAAGAAUACAAGACCCAACUUCAACAAGAACAACUCAAGUGGCCUCAAGGGCAAGCAACGAGUUAGAACUAGUUUCAACUGUGGCAAUGUGAGCCAUUUCGUUGCGGAUUAUCCUUACGAGAAGCGGGAAGACAAUGGUGGCAAGUUCAUCCGAAAAGACAAAGCCAAGUCCUUCCCCAACAAGAACAACUUCACUAAGAAGACUCCUACUCGCGGGUUGGUAGUUCAAGAAGAAUACCUUGAGGAUGACGAUGAUGAUGAAUAUAGUGAAACAAUGGCUAUGGCAUCCGUUGCCAUUGCCACAACUCCCCGGGUGUCUCUCUUCGCUUCACCCAACGAGAACAUCACCGCCAAGUGCCUCAUGGCUAAAGCCACCAACAAGGUAACCCCCAACAUCAAAACCACCAUUAUUCCUAAUCCUUCUUCGACGGUUGGCUUUGAUGAUGGUAAGGGGUUUAAUGAGGAGGUAAAUGAAUUUGAGUCCUUCAUGAGUAAGCUCAAGGGCAAAUCCAAGAAGCACUUCGUUGCUCUCUUGGAACAACUUGGUGAAGCCAAUGACAUGAUCGAGGCUCACGAAGAAACCAUCUCUAAGAUGGAAGGUCAUAGUCGUGACUAUGCGGAUGAGAUAUCGCAUCUCUCUAAUGCUCUUGAGGAAGAGCGUGGGCAUCGUUUGGCUCUUGAGGAGUCACACAACGAUGACCAUGCCAAAUUAAAGAAAGAUCUUGAUCAUGCUCUUGUUGUGUCUCGUGUACUAAAUUCCGAGAAGGCUAAACUUGGGGUUGAUCAUGCUAGACUCAAGGAGAAGUUUGAUGUACUUGACAAGGCCCAUAAGGUCUUGAAAGGUGCUCAUGCAAACCUCAAGGAGUCUCAUGCUCAACUCCAAGUUAAGCUAACCAAGGAAAAGGCCACAUUUCCUCACAUGGUCUUAAUUGAUGAUGCAAAUGCUGCUAACCCGUGUUGUGAGUAUGUGCAUCUUGUGGAGGAGAAUGCCAAGUUGAAGGAACAACUCGAGAAAGGUCUUGUGUCAUGCAUACAAGGUGAGAAGAACCUAAAUGACCUUUUGAGCAAUCAAAAGGAAGUUGUGGGCAAGGAGGGAGUUGGGUUCUCACCCAAGUCCAAGAACAAGAAGGAGAACGAGAAGAAGAAUAACAAGACCAAACGACCUCCCCCGCUUAAGCAAACUUUUGUGAAGGAGGGAGAGGGUGCUCCUAAGGAGAAGAAGAACAAUGCGAAGAGUGGUGAUGCCAAAAGGGGCAAGGCUAUCUCUCCCAACAAAGCCGGCGACUUUAACCCCUCUUAUGUGUUGUGUCGUGCUAGUGAUGGGCAUGUUUAUGCUAAAUUUGUUGGUUCUUCUUAUGAGUACAUUGAAUGGUCUAUUUGA